rnacentral:rRNA from 1 species
AGCAGCCGCGGUAAUUCCGGCUCCAAUAGCGUAUAUUAAAGUUGUUGCAGUUAAAAAGCUCGUAGUUGAAUUUCGGGGUCAGUAGGUCGGUCGUGCCACUGGUAUGAACUGGUCUCACUGAUUCCUCCCUCUUGUAGAACCGUGAUGCCAUUAAUUUGGUGUUGCGGGGAAACAGGACUGUUACUUUGAAAAAAUUAGAGUGUUUAAAGCAAGCUAACGCUUGAAUACAUUAGCAUGGAAUAAUGAAAUAGGACGUCGAUCUUAUUUUGUUGGUUUCUAGGGUUGACGUAAUGAUUAAUAGGGAUAGUUGGGGGCAUUAGUAUUCAAUUGUCAGAGGUGAAAUUCUUGGAUUUAUUGAAGACUAACUACUGCGAAAGCAUUUGCCAAGGAUGUUUUCAUUAAUCAAGAACGAAAGUUAGGGAUCGAAGACGAUCAGAUACCGUCGUAGUCUUAACCAUAAACUAUGCCGACUAGGGGAUCGGGAUGAUUGUUAAUUUUUUAAUGACUCAUUCGGCGCCUU